rnacentral:rRNA from 1 species
GGCGGACGGGUGAGUAAUGUAUAGGAACUUGCCUAGUAGUGGGGGACAACGCGCGGAAACGCACGCUAAUACCGCAUACGCUCUACGGAGGAAAGCGGGGGCUCUUCGGACCUCGUGCUACUAGAUAGGCCUAUAUUGGAUUAGCUAGUUGGUAAGGUAAAGGCUUACCAAGGCGACGAUCCAUAGCUGGUUUGAGAGAAUGAUCAGCCACACUGGGACUGAGACACGGCCCAG